GUCUUGCUGUCACUUAUAGAUGGAUCCGCGCUGCAUUAGCUAGUUGGUAAGGUAACGGCUUACCAAGGCAACGAUGCAUAGCCGACCUGAGAGGGUGAUCGGCCACACUGGAACUGAGACACGGUCCAGACUCCUACGGGAGGCAGCAGUAGGGAAUCUUCCGCAAUGGGCGAAAGCCUGACGGAGCAACGCCGCGUGAGUGAUGAAGGUCUUCGGAUCGUAAAACUCUGUUAUUAGGGAAGAACAUAUGUGUAAGUAACUGUGCACAUCUUGACGGUACCUAAUCAGAAAGCCACGGCUAACUACGUGCCAGCAGCCGCGGUAAUACGUAGGUGGCAAGCGUUAUCCGGAAUUAUUGGGCGUAAAGCGCGCGUAGGCGGUUUUUUAAGUCUGAUGUGAAAGCCCACGGCUCAACCGUGGAGGGUCAUUGGAAACUGGAAAACUUGAGUGCAGAAGAGGAAAGUGGAAUUCCAUGUGUAGCGGUGAAAUGCGCAGAGAUAUGGAGGAACACCAGUGGCGAAGGCGACUUUCUGGUCUGUAACUGACGCUGAUGUGCGAAAGCGUGGGGAUCAAACAGGAUUAGAUACCCUGGUAGUCCACGCCGUAAACGAUGAGUGCUAAGUGUUAGGGGGUUUCCGCCCCUUAGUGCUGCAGCUAACGCAUUAAGCACUCCGCCUGGGGAGUACGACCGCAAGGUUGAAACUCAAAGGAAUUGACGGGGACCCGCACAAGCGGUGGAGCAUGUGGUUUAAUUCGAAGCAACGCGAAGAACCUUACCAAAUCUUGACAUCCUUUGACAACUCUAGAGAUAGAGCCUUCCCCUUCGGGGGACAAAGUGACAGGUGGUGCAUGGUUGUCGUCAGCUCGUGUCGUGAGAUGUUGGGUUAAGUCCCGCAACGAGCGCAACCCUUAAGCUUAGUUGCCAUCAUUAAGUUGGGCACUCUAAGUUGACUGCCGGUGACAAACCGGAGGAAGGUGGGGAUGACGUCAAAUCAUCAUGCCCCUUAUGAUUUGGGCUACACACGUGCUACAAUGGACAAUACAAAGGGCAGCGAAACCGCGAGGUCAAGCAAAUCCCAUAAAGUUGUUCUCAGUUCGGAUUGUAGUCUGCAACUCGACUACAUGAAGCUGGAAUCGCUAGUAAUCGUAGAUCAGCAUGCUACGGUGAAUACGUUCCCGGGUCUUGUACACACCGCCCGUCACACCACGAGAGUUUGUAACACCCGAAGCCGGUGGAGUAACCUUUUAGGAGCUAGCCGUCGAAGGUGGGACAAAUGAUUGGGGUGAAGUCGUAACAAGGUAGCCGUAUCGGAAGGUGCGGCUGGAUCACCUCCUUU
rnacentral:rRNA from 1 species